rnacentral:sRNA from 1 species
AGGCAGGAAGGCUCGGCAUGGAGGGCACCAUUUAGCUGAAAAGUAGAGGAGGACAGUCUUCCCAACAAGUUCUGAUACAGGAACCUUUGCCCCAUCUUUCCCAAGGACAAAGUCCAAAUCACCAGUGACCAGAAGGGACUCCAGGGUCUGUGAUUCUGCUUUAGCUUUUGCCUUCUCAGCAAGAAUUUCGAGCUUCUCUGCACUGAAAGGAAAACCUUCCCAUGCAUCUGGACCAUGCUCAUCAAUUAUGUCAGCAAUAUCGUCAUUCAGUGUCUUCCCAUCAGGACCAAUCAGGACAAGCAUAGGAAGGCCACUGAGCUCAAAAUAACGAGCCAGCUUCUCACACAUCUUAUCUCCCUGAGGAAUGGCAAGCCAAGGCAUGUCUGCAAAACUCUCAUUGAAUGAUUCCUCAUCACCGUCCAAUGAUACCAUUACAACUUCAAACUUCUCCCCAACUGCUUUAAGUUUUUCAUAUAUUUUGGCAAGCACUGAGGUGAAUUGAACAACUGGACCAUAGCCAUUCACCACAAAGCACAAACCAACAUACUUGCCUUCGAGGUCAGAGAUGGGCACCUGGUUACCUUGUCUCCCUUGUUGGUGAUUAAGUAGUCGCGGGUGGGUGUACCAAACAGACUAUGAAUAGUUUGAUUAUCUUUAGCUGCCUUUUCCUGUUCCUUCAAUUCAUUGAUCCUCUCUGUUGUAAAAGGGUAAGCUUCUGUACCAUACUCAUGCACAAGCUCCACUCCAUCUUCAGUGUAAAUUUCACCAGAUUUUGCAUCAAGGAUUACAAGGUGUGGAAUACCCAUCACC